CAGAGGGUGAGAAUNCCGUCUUUGACACGGACUGCCCGUACGAUAUGGUGCGCUCUCGAAGAGUCGAGUUGUUNGGGAAUGCAGCUCAAAAUGGGUGGUAAAUGCCAUCUAAAGCUAAAUAUUGGCGAGAGACCGAUAGCGAACAAGUACCGCGAGGGAAAGAUGAAAAGAACUUUGGAAAGAGAGUUAAACAGUACGUGAAAUUGCUGAAAGGGAAACGCUUGAAGUCAGUCGCGUCGGCUGGAAAUCAGUCUUGCUCUUGCUUGAUGUACUUUCUGGUCUGACGGGUCAGCAUCAGUUUUGACCUCCGGACAAAGUCAUUGGGAAUGUGGCAUCUCAGGAUGUGUUAUAGCCCGUUGUCGCAUGCGGAGGUCGGGAUUGAGGAGCUCAGCACGCCCGCGAGGGCCGGGUCUCUAAGACCACGUUCGUGCUUAGGAUGCUGGCAUAA
rnacentral:rRNA from 1 species